AACGAACGCUGGCGGCAUGCCUAACACAUGCAAGUCGAACGAGACCUUCGGGUCUAGUGGCGCACGGGUGCGUAACGCGUGGGAACCUGCCCUUAGGUUCGGAAUAACUCCCCGACAGGGGUGCUAAUACCGGAUAAUGUCUUCGGACCAAAGAUUUAUCGCCUUUGGAUGGGCCCGCGUUGGAUUAGCUAGUUGGUAGGGUAAAAGCCUACCAAGGCGACGAUCCAUAGCUGGUCUGAGAGGAUGAUCAGCCACACUGGGACUGAGACACGGCCCAGACUCCUACAGGAGGCAGCAGUGGGGAAUAUUGGACAAUGGGCGAAAGCCUGAUCCAGCAAUGCCGCGUGAGUGAUGAAGGCCUUAGGGUUGUAAAGCUCUUUUACCCGGGAUGAUAAUGACAGUACCGGGAGAAUAAGCUCCGGCUAACUCCGUG
rnacentral:rRNA from 1 species